UUUGUUUAAGUUAGAAAGGGCGCACGGUGGAUGCCUUGACACUAGGAGUCGAUGAAGGACGGGACUAACGCCGAUAUGCUUCGGGGAGCUGUAAGUAAGCUUUGAUCCGAAGAUUUCCGAAUGGGGAAACCCACCAUACGUAAUGGUAUGGUAUCCUUAUCUGAAUACAUAGGGUAAGGAAGACAGACCCAGGGAACUGAAACAUCUAAGUACCUGGAGGAAGAGAAAGCAAAUGCGAUUUCCUGAGUAGCGGCGAGCGAAACGGAACAUAGCCCAAACCAAGAGGCUUGCCUCUUGGGGUUGUAGGACAUUCUAUACGGAGUUACAAAGGAACGAGGUAGACGAAGCGACCUGGAAAGGUCCGUCGUAGAGGGUAACAACCCCGUAGUCGAAACUUCGUUCUCUCUUGAAUGUAUCCUGAGUACGGCGGAACACGUGAAAUUCCGUCGGAAUCUGGGAGGACCAUCUCCCAAGGCUAAAUACUCCCUAGUGAUCGAUAGUGAACCAGUACCGUGAGGGAAAGGUGAAAAGCACCCCGGAAGGGGAGUGAAAGAGAUCCUGAAACCGUGUGCCUACAAAUAGUCAGAGCCCGUUAACGGGUGAUGGCGUGCCUUUUGUAGAAUGAACCGGCGAGUUACGAUCCCGUGCGAGGUUAAGCUGAAGAGGCGGAGCCGCAGCGAAAGCGAGUCUGAAUAGGGCGUUUAGUACGUGGUCGUAGACCCGAAACCAGGUGAUCUACCCAUGUCCAGGGUGAAGUUCAGGUAACACUGAAUGGAGGCCCGAACCCACGCACGUUGAAAAGUGCGGGGAUGAGGUGUGGGUAGCGGAGAAAUUCCAAUCGAACCUGGAGAUAGCUGGUUCUCCCCGAAAUAGCUUUAGGGCUAGCCUUAAGUGUAAGAGUCUUGGAGGUAGAGCACUGAUUGGACUAGGGGUCCUCAUCGGAUUACCGAAUUCAGUCAAACUCCGAAUGCCAAUGACUUAUCCUUAGGAGUCAGACUGCGAGUGAUAAGAUCCGUAGUCAAAAGGGAAACAGCCCAGACCGCCAGCUAAGGUCCCAAAGUGUGUAUUAAGUGGAAAAGGAUGUGGAGUUGCUUAGACAACUAGGAUGUUGGCUUAGAAGCAGCCACCAUUUAAAGAGUGCGUAAUAGCUCACUAGUCGAGUGACUCUGCGCCGAAAAUGUACCGGGGCUAAAUACACCACCGAAGCUGCGGAUUGAUACCAAUGGUAUCAGUGGUAGGGGAGCGUUCUAAGGACAGUGAAGUCAGACCGUAAGGACUGGUGGAGUGCUUAGAAGUGAGAAUGCCGGUAUGAGUAGCGAAAGACGGGUGAGAAUCCCGUCCACCGAAUGCCUAAGGUUUCCUGAGGAAGGCUCGUCCGCUCAGGGUUAGUCAGGACCUAAGCCGAGGCCGACAGGCGUAGGCGAUGGACAACAGGUUGAUAUUCCUGUACCACCUCUUUAUCGUUUGAGCAAUGGAGGGACGCAGAAGGAUAGAAGAAGCGUGCGAUUGGUUGUGCACGUCCAAGCAGUUAGGCUGAUAAGUAGGCAAAUCCGCUUAUCAUAAAGGCUGAGCUGUGAUGGGGAAGCUCCUUAUGGAGCGAAGUCUUUGAUUCCCCGCUGCCAAGAAAAGCUUCUAGCGAGAUAAAAGGUGCCUGUACCGCAAACCGACACAGGUAGGCGAGGAGAGAAUCCUAAGGUGUGCGAGAGAACUCUGGUUAAGGAACUCGGCAAAAUGACCCCGUAACUUCGGGAGAAGGGGUGCUUUCUUAACGGAAAGCCGCAGUGAAUAGGCCCAAGCGACUGUUUAGCAAAAACACAGCUCUCUGCGAAGCCGUAAGGCGAAGUAUAGGGGGUGACACCUGCCCGGUGCUGGAAGGUUAAGGAGAGGGGUUAGCGUAAGCGAAGCUCUGAACUGAAGCCCCAGUAAACGGCGGCCGUAACUAUAACGGUCCUAAGGUAGCGAAAUUCCUUGUCGGGUAAGUUCCGACCCGCACGAAAGGUGUAACGAUUUGGGCACUGUCUCAACCAGAGACUCGGUGAAAUUAUAGUACCUGUGAAGAUGCAGGUUACCCGCGACAGGACGGAAAGACCCCGUGGAGCUUUACUGUAGCCUGAUAUUGAAUUUUGGUACAGUUUGUACAGGAUAGGCGGGAGCCAUUGAAACCGGAGCGCUAGCUUCGGUGGAGGCGCUGGUGGGAUACCGCCCUGACUGUAUUGAAAUUCUAACCUACGGGUCUUAUCGACCCGGGAGACAGUGUCAGGUGGGCAGUUUGACUGGGGCGGUCGCCUCCUAAAGUGUAACGGAGGCGCCCAAAGGUUCCCUCAGAAUGGUUGGAAAUCAUUCGUAGAGUGCAAAGGCAUAAGGGAGCUUGACUGCGAGACCUACAAGUCGAGCAGGGACGAAAGUCGGGCUUAGUGAUCCGGUGGUUCCGCAUGGAAGGGCCAUCGCUCAACGGAUAAAAGCUACCCCGGGGAUAACAGGCUUAUCUCCCCCAAGAGUCCACAUCGACGGGGAGGUUUGGCACCUCGAUGUCGGCUCAUCGCAUCCUGGGGCUGUAGUCGGUCCCAAGGGUUGGGCUGUUCGCCCAUUAAAGCGGUACGCGAGCUGGGUUCAGAACGUCGUGAGACAGUUCGGUCCCUAUCCGUCGUGGGCGUAGGAAAUUUGAGAGGAGCUGUCCUUAGUACGAGAGGACCGGGAUGGACGCACCGCUGGUGUACCAGUUGUUCUGCCAAGGGCAUAGCUGGGUAGCUAUGUGCGGAAGGGAUAAGUGCUGAAAGCAUCUAAGCAUGAAGCCCCCCUCAAGAUGAGAUUUCCCAUAGCGUAAGCUAGUAAGAUCCCUGAAAGAUGAUCAGGUUGAUAGGUUCGAGGUGGAAGCAUGGUGACAUGUGGAGCUGACGAAUACUAAUAGAUCGAGGACUUAACCAUAUAA
rnacentral:rRNA from 1 species